AUGGUUUGACCUCGGAU
rnacentral:rRNA from 1 species